rnacentral:rRNA from 1 species
GACGUAGGGCGCGAGCGUUGUCCGGAUUUAUUGGGCGUAAAGAGCUCGUAGGCGGCUUGUUGCGUCAGCUGUGAAAACCCGCAGCUCAACUGUGGGCUUGCAGCUGAUACGGGCAGGCUUGAGUUCGGUAGGGGAGAGUGGAAUUCAUGGUGUAGCGGUGAAAUGCGCAGAUAUCAGGAGGAACACCGGUGGCGAAGGCGGGUCUCUGGGCCGAUACUGACGCUGAGGAGCGAAAGCGUGGGGAGCGAACAGG